rnacentral:rRNA from 1 species
CCUACGGGAGGCAGCAGUGGGGAAUAUUGGACAAUGGGCGAAAGCCUGAUCCAGCAAUGCCGCGUGAGUGAAGAAGGCCUUCGGGUUGUAAAGCUCUUUUACCCGGGAAGAUAAUGACUGUACCGGGGGAAUAAGCUCCGGCUAACUCCGUGCCAGCAGCCGCGGUAAUACGGAGGGAGCUAGCGUUGUUCGGAAUUACUGGGCGUAAAGCGUACGUAGGCGGCUUGGUAAGUCAGAGGUGAAAGCCCACGACUCAAUCGUGGAACUGCCUUUGAGACUGCUUCGCUUGAAGAUGGGAGAGGUUAGUGGAAUUCCGAGUGUAGAGGUGAAAUUCGUAGAUAUUCGGAAGAACACCAGUGGCGAAGGCGGCUAACUGGACCAUUCUUGACGCUGAGGUACGAAAGCGUGGGGAGCAAACAGGAUUAGAUACCCUGGUAGUCCACGCCGUAAACGAUGAUAACUAGCUGUCGGGGCUCUUGGAGCUUCGGUGGCGCAGCACGACAUAAUUAUCCGUCCGUCGGGUAGGUACGGCCGCGAACGGUAAACGUAACGAAAGAAAGUAGUACGGCGNGAGAACGUGCGACGACGACGACGAGGGAGGAGG